rnacentral:lncRNA from 1 species
AGCUUCUACUAUUGUCCUUUCUGGAACGUUUUGAAUUUGGCCUCCAUAGUCUACAUUGCUUGCAGCGCUGUCUUCUGGGCUCAUACUUGAGUGGCAAAUUAAUUUCUGCAUAUGGUGUUCAGCUGUUUGGAUGUCUUCCUUAUUCCUCUGAAACCCAACAUGGUCUGGUUCUUCACCGCAACAGAGCAUGCGCUGUCCUCGUGUCCUCCUUAGUCAUAUGGUGACACACUGACCAAAACCAUGUUGGUAGGAUCGGGUUUCUUAUAGUUUACAGUUCAGAGUUCAUUAUCAAGGGACUCAGGCAAGCAACUCAAGCAGGAGCAGAGGCAGGAGCCAUGGAGGAACAAACAGUCUUUACUCGCUUCCUUCCCGAGCUUCUUCAGCUUGCUUUUCUUAUAGAACCUAGGGCCAACCUGCUCAGGGGUGCCACCAUCCAAAGUGGGUGGAGGCCUCACACAUUAGUCGUUAAUCAAGAAAAUGCCCAGCUGGGCAGUGGCAGCACACGUAUUUAAUCUCAGCACUCUGGAGGAAGCAGGUGGAUCUCUGUGAGUUUGAGGCCAGCCUGAUCUACAGAGUGAGUUCCAGGACAGCCAGGGCUACACAGAGAAACCCUGUCUCAAUCAAUCAAUCAAUCAAUCAAUCAAUCAAUCAAUAGAAUAGAAUAGAAUAGAAUAGAAUAGAGGAAGCGAGAAGAAAGUUCCCCAGAGACAGGCCUCCAGACCAAUCUGUUGUAGAUAUCUCCUCAUUUGAGAAUUCUCUCUUCCUAGAUGACUGUAGCAGAUACCACUGAAAAUAUUAACCAGCACCCCCUUUUGAAGAAAAACUGUUUUAUAAGCAGGGCACUGAAGUGGUCACUCAGAAAAGCAGGUGUCCUCAUGGGUUCCCCAGGCCUUGUCCGUCUGGGUCACUUACCCCUUUCUUUUCUUCCUCCUUGUUCUGCUUACUAACACUACCCUCUGACAGUUCUCCCCUGGGGAGCUCAGGGUUAGAAGGCGGCUAGUUGUCUAAAAGUUCCAUUCUACUUUUUCUUAGUUACUUACCCUCGGGUAGUUAUACGCCCUCACAGUAACCAGAGGGUUUGGAAGAUUAACCAUCCCAUACAUUACAGUGCUUGUCUAGAGUCAGGUUUACAGUGUUAGCUGUUCUUAUCAAGUAAAGAAACGCGUUUUACUCUGAGUUUCACUUUUAAGGAUAUUUUAGAAAUUAGCAAAAUUUAAAAAUAUUUCAGAUAUAGUGGAACUGUUUUAGUUUAUUUUUGUAACAGAAAUGUGAUAGUUUGAAUGAUUUGAACACUCAACUUUAAGUUCAUGAAUUCACUUUUUUUGUUGUGUUUUUUUCCUUUUUUUUUAAAAGUUUUAUUUAUCUUAUGUAUGUGAGUACAAUGUCACUGUUUUCAGAUACACCAGAAGAGGCCAUCAGAUCCCUUUAUAGUUGGUUGUGAGCGACUCUGUUGUUUCUGGGAAUUGAACUCGGGACCUUUGGAAGAACAGUCAGUGCUCUUAACCACUGAGCCAUCUCUCUCCAGUUCCCUUAUGAUUGUAUUUUUAAGGCAGGGUCUCAUGUAAUCCAGGCUACCAUGAAUUCACUAUGUAGCUAAGGUUAACCCUAACUGUUUACUGGUGAGAUCUUGGGAGUGGAUCACCACACCUGGUUCUACACAGUGCAGGGGAUCUGACUCGGUUUUAAGCACAGUCCCAGCUGAGAAAUUAAAAGUAAUUAUUAAAAGAACCAACAAACAGAUAUUCCUCUUUCUUGUUUUAUUUUUAUUAUGUUUUAUUUUUAUUUGCUGCCAAGUUCAUGCGAGUAUAUAAUGUGUAACAUCGUGGUCAGUCCCCCCUCUCCCUGCACUGACUCCUUCUCUGAACACCUUCCCCGGGUACAUCCGACAUUGUUUCGUGACUCAGCGAGCUCCGCGAGGGGUUGUGGGUUCUUUAGUGGACCAUCAGCAUUAUCAGUGGCUGUACCACUGAAGAGAAUAGUUUCUCUUCUCCCAACAACCAUUAGCUGCCAAUUGCUCCUUCAGGAUGGUGGGAUGGGG